rnacentral:rRNA from 1 species
UACAGAGGGGGCCAGCGUUAUUCGGAAUUAUUGGGCGUAAAGGGCGCGUAGGCGGCCAUGCUUGUCUUCCGUGAAAUCCCUCGGCUUAACUGAGGACGUGCGGAAGAAACUGCAAGGCUCGAGUCCGGGAGAGGGGGGUGGAAUUCCCAGUGUAGCGGUGAAAUGCGUAGAUAUUGGGAGGAACACCAAUUGCGAAGGCAGCUCGCUGGGACGUUACUGACGCUGAGACGCGAAAGCGUGGGGAGCAAACAGG